UAUGGUCACAUCACGUUGAAUCACCCGUUCCCGUAUGAUCACUGAAGUUAAGCAACGUCAAGCCAAGUCACAACCCAGAUAGGUGACCGCUUGGGGACACCAGGUGCUGUAAG